UACGAAGGGGGCUAGCGUUGCUCGGAAUCACUGGGCGUAAAGGGUGCGUAGGCGGGUCUUAAGUCAGGGGUGAAAUCCUGGAGCUCAACUCCAGAACUGCCUUUGAUACUGAAGAUCUUGAGUUCGGGAGAGGUGAGUGGAACUGCGAGUGUAGAGGUGAAAUUCGUAGAUAUUCGCAAGAACACCAGUGGCGAAGGCGGCUCACUGGCCCGAUACUGACGCUGAGGCACGAAAGCGUGG
rnacentral:rRNA from 1 species